UACGGGGGGAGCAAGCGUUGUUCGGAUUUACUGGGCGUAAAGGGCGCGUAGGCGGCCAGCACAAGUCAGUUGUGAAAUCUCCGAGCUUAACUCGGAAAGGUCAACUGAUACUGCGGGGCUAGAGUGCAGAAGGGGCAACUGGAAUUCUCGGUGUAGCGGUGAAAUGCGUAGAUAUCGAGAGGAACACCUGCGGCGAAGGCGGGUUGCUGGGCUGACACUGACGCUGAAGCGCGAAAGCUAGGGGAGCGAACGGG
rnacentral:rRNA from 1 species